rnacentral:lncRNA from 1 species
AAGUAAUACAAUACAGUUGAAUAUAGUUGAAUAUUUUGCCAUAAAUGUUAUGUUAAGGCUGUCUAUCAAUAAUUCAGCUCUUAUAUAAAAUAUUCUUGCAAAUAAGAUAUUGUACCUCAAGAACAAAUGAUCAGUGCAGAUAUAUUUUCAAAGAAUAUCAGUCUCUCUGUUUAUGCCAGUAAAGAGUGAAAGAAACCCAAGGAUGAGAAAUAGAAGAAGACAAAGUUUAGUGAAAUAUGUGGGCUUGGAAGGAAAAAUUGUUAACAUUUUGAGCAGUUGGACCUAGAGCAUGUAAUGUGUCUCAAUAACUCUAUUGCUUUUUUUUCCUAAUGUUUUAAACCAACUUUCAAUAGACAAAAAGUGACAAAAUAAAUUUUAAUGGCAAAAUAUCCUUAAGAACACAAGAAAUAUAAAAUAAAUGCAGCAAGUAAUGAUAAAACGGACUGUUCUAAAGCAAGGGUCCUAACCUUAAAGCUAAAGGUGUGAAAAAAAAACAAACAAACUUACAUCUCAUUUAGGAUAUACAAAAGAAUCAAUACCUUUGGAAAAAAAAAAAAAAAUCUAUGAAUUUGCCCUGAGGUGUAAUGCUAAGGUGAUGGGAAAAGCUUCUAUUGUAAGAUGAUAAUAUUAUGCCCUGAAUUUUAUAAAAGAAUAUUCCAUGAUAUUUUCUCUUUUCAGCUUGUUUCAUGCUUGCUUACAUUAUUCAGAAGCAUUUUGCAUCUUCACCUGAAUUGGCUGAAGAGGCAUUGUCCAGCCAUCUGUAAAGGCAAGAGUGACAGCUUAUACCACUGAUUUUAAGAGUAGGGGAAGAUGAACAGACACAUAGAGAUGGAUGGGUGAAGUGAAGUAGAAUAUUACUGAAUAAUCUUCAACCUUGAAUGAGGAAAAUGAGAUACAGGAUGCCUAAUGUUUCAUUGACAUCCAUGAAAAAAGACAUGAAAACAUCCAAAUCUCCCUCAGUGGAAGAAAGUUAAGGGGACCACAUGCAAAACCACAGCUCCACUGAGCAUGGUGACCCUGGCAGGACAACAGGGAUCCCAUCCGUGCACCUGUCCUUGUGUGGCCAGAGGGAGAGGCUGUGCCUGGUGCAUCAAGAAGAAAAUCAUGUUUGGAACUACAUGUUAUACAUUAAAUGUGACACAAGAGAGAUGAAUUAUGCAGUAAAUUCUGUGUGUGCUGAUCAGCACAAAGCCCAAGACACAUUCAGCAGAGUUGCUGUGAAGAUCUGUAAUGAGUUUCAAGUACAUCAUUUCCUGAUGGAGGGUAAGAAAACAUCCAUCAAUGCUAAUUUUCCCACAGUUUUCAGCUUUUUAU